UACGAAGGGGGCUAGCGUUGUUCGGAAUCAUUGGGCGUAAAGAGCGUGUAGGCGGCUCGGUAAGUCCGCUGUGAAAGUCCAGGGCUCAACCCUGGAAUGCCAGUGGAAACUGUCGAGCUAGAGUCCGGAAGAGGCGAGUGGAAUUCCUGGUGUAGCGGUGAAAUGCGCAGAUAUCAGGAGGAACACCAAUGGCGAAGGCAGCUCGCUGGGACGGUACUGACGCUGAGACGCGAAAGCGUGGGGAGCAAACAGG
rnacentral:rRNA from 1 species